ACGGCGCGUGUUUGGAUCAGAAGAGCUCCCUUCCCCUUCCUCCAUUUUUCUCCAAAACCUCACACCAAAAAUUUCCAACCAGACCACCCUCCUCUCUGAUUUUUUAUCUCCCUUCACAAAAAUCACGCAUCUCACAUCUGAAGGUUUCUUCAUAUAGGCGAAACAAAAGCAAAAAAAAAAUUAAAAAAAAUGAAGAUCUGAAAAGGAUUUCGAAGGAGAUUCCUCUUCCUGGAUCCGUAAAAGGUUGUUGAAGGCCGAAUCUAUGGUUGUUCGCUGUUGAUUGUUGCUGUCUCGAACUGGAAAUUUUGAUUUCUUAGCCUCGCUUUGGUUCAUUCCAGUUCAUCUAUAGGCAAAUAGAAAUUGAAGUUGCGUUUUGCUGAGCUCCUACGCAGUUGAGGUUGCCGACGAGUCCCUUAUUGCUGGUUUAGCUUGGUCGAGUUUUCUCGUCGAAAUUCCAGCUUUGUAAUCCAGAAAUUUUCAUAUAUAAAAGCAUUUAUUUGGUUUCAGUUGCUGCUAUCUUCAGUUUAUCCGGUGUAUGCACAUCUUCUUUGCUCAAAUAGUGACAUAUUGCUUGCUUUGAGGAUUUUACCAAAGUUUGUUUCAUCAGCCAAAGCUCAGCCAAAACCGAACCCUCAACAGCUUUUAAGGGAUUGGCAACGUAGGCUCCGACAAGAAUGUCGAAAUAUUGAACGUCAAAUCCGAGAUAUACAAAGAGAGGAGAAGAAUGUGCCGAAAGCAAUUAAAGAAGCUGCAAAGAGAAAUGAUAUGGGUUCUGCCAAGAUUUAGGUAUUUCUACACCCGGUAGCGGGUAUUGGUUGAGGAGAGGCAGAGUCAUUGGAGUUUAGCGAGGUAGCUGCCCGACGUCCGCAACACUAUUUUUCUCCCUCUCAAUGUCGUUAGACUAUAUUUAGUAUAUUUCCAAAAUUUCAUUGUAUUUUAGACCUUAGUAGAUGCUCGUGACUUGUGACACCCCGAUGUUGGGCUAUAUCUAUUUACGCACUAUUCAUUUAAAACUUACCUUAUGCAAUAUCUGGUUAAUUAAGAAGGCUUAAAAUGA